AUUGAACGCUGGCGGCAGGCCUAACACAUGCAAGUCGAGCGGAGCGGCGGACGGGUGAGUAAUGCCUAGGAAUCUGACUGGUAGUGGGGGAUAACGUCCGGAAACGGGCGCUAAUACCGCAUACUAUCAGAUGAGCCUAGGUCGGAUUAGCUAGUUGGUGGGGUAAAGGCCUACCAAGGCGACGAUCCGUCGCUGGUCUGAGCGGACGAUCAGCCACACUGGGACUGAGACACGGCCCAGACUCCUACGUGAGGCAGCAGUGGGGAAUUUUGGACAAUGGGUGAAACCCUGAUCCAGCCAUGCCGCGUGUGCGAUGAAGGCCUUCGGGUUGUAAAGCACUUUUGGUUGGGAAGCGUUACCUGCAGAAUAAGCACCGGCUAACUUCGUGCCAGCAGCCGCGGUAAUUC
rnacentral:rRNA from 1 species